GGAUAGCUCAGUUGGUUAGGGCAUGGCGCUGAUAAUGCCAAGGUUGCAGGUUCAAUCCCCAUAUGAGACA
rnacentral:tRNA from 1 species